UACGUAGGAGGCAAGCGUUGUCCGGAGUUACUGGGCGUAAAGCGCACGCAGGCGGCCGCAUUAGUCUGGGGUGACAGUUCCCGGCUUUAACCGGAAAAGGACUCUGGAAACUGUGCGACUUGAGGGCUUCAGAGGGAUGUGGAAUUCCAGGUGGAGUGGUGAAAUGCGUAGAGAUCUGGAAGAACACCAAAGGCGAAGGCAGCAUCCUGGGAAGUUCCUGACGCUCGGGUGCGAAAGCCAGGGGAGCGAACGGG
rnacentral:rRNA from 1 species